UACAGAGGUCUCAAGCGUUGUUCGGAUUCAUUGGGCGUAAAGGGUGCGUAGGCGGCGCGGUAAGUCGGGUGUGAAAUUUCGAGGCUUAACUUCGAAACUGCAUUCGAUACUGCCGUGCUAGAGGACUGGAGAGGAGACUGGAAUUUACGGUGUAGCGGUGAAAUGCGUAGAUAUCGUAAGGAAGGCCGGUGGCGAAAGCGGGUCUCUGGACAGUUCCUGACGCUGAGGCACGAAGGUCAGGGGAGCAAACGGG
rnacentral:rRNA from 1 species